rnacentral:misc_RNA from 1 species
AAGUCGUAACAAGGUUUCCGUAGGUGAACCUGCGGAAGGAUCAUUAUUGAAUACUCUUGAUGGGUUGUAGCUGGCUCUUCGGGGCAUGUGCACGCCUGUCUUGACUUUAUUCAUCCACCUGUGCACCUUUUGUAGUCUUGGGGGUUGAGAGCAGUCAAUAAUCGGAUGACCAUUUGGUCACUCCGGGUGUGAGGAAUGCUGAGUGCGAAAGCAUACAGCUCUUCUCAAAGUGACUUGUAAUCCUCUCCUUCAAGUACUAUGUAUUCAUAUACCCAUAGUAUGUUGUAGAAUGUGAUCAAUGGGCCUAAGUGCCUAUAACAAUCAUAUACAACUUUCAGCAACGGAUCUCUUGGCUCUC